GCCGGCGUGGCGGAAUUGGCAGACGCGCGGGACUAAAAAUCCCUUUCUUUUUUGGAGUGUCGGUUCGAUCCCGACCGCCGGUA
rnacentral:tRNA from 1 species